CCCUUCCCUUAGUAAAUAGUGGUUCUUGCCUCCACACCCCCAGCAUCUUAAGGAGCUCAGUCAGUGAGCAACGGGGAGCCAUAGAAGAUUGUUGAGCCGGGGAGAGACACAGCCAUGAUGGAGGUUGUGUUAAAAAGGUGAUUUGGGAGGUGCAGAGGCAGGAAGUCGGAAGACUGUUCCAGCAGUCUAGGCCAAGGGGGAUGGAGGCUCAGGCCAAAUCAGCCCACUCCCUCGGGGCCACCUGUGGCAGCAGUGAUAGAAGGUAUCGGAAGCUUUUCUUCCUUGGCCCUCACGUAUUUGGAACAAGUCCUAAAUAUCUAGAGCUUUCCUUCAGAACAGUUUAUGCAUUUGUAAUUUGGUUUUGAACAUUUACUAUGUGCCAGGCACUGUGCUUGUUGCGUUAUAUAUGUUAACUCUUUUAAUCCUCCCAGUGACCUCAAGUGCUGGGAAUCAUUACUGUCCCCAGUUUGCAGAGAGGUUAGGCUACUUGCUCAAGGUCACCCAGCAGGAAGUGGCAGAGCAGGUCUGUGCGACACCAUAGCCUUUGUUCUGGUACACAGGAACUGGCAUUCAAGCCUGGCUUAUCAACUGCAAAUCACAUACAAGCCCCAAAUUCCAGCCAAAAGGAUAGACUUGUAACGUGAGCGUAUCUAUAACUUACACUCCUCUGCCUGGAAGAGCUUCUAUGUAGUGAAGUUCUUUUCUUUCAAGGUUGCGCUUAGUUUCCACCUCUAGCAAGCCUCCUCUGAUUAUCCCAGCCCAAAGUGAUCCCUCUCUUUCCCCAGCCCUGUGUUUCUGCUACUUCUUUGGCCCCAAGACUGCCUUGUGUUACAUCUCUCUCCCCUUGCUCUC
rnacentral:lncRNA from 10 species